GCUUACGGCCGUACCACCCUGAGCACGCCUGACCUCGUCUGAUCUCGGAAGCUAAGCAGGGUCACACAUUCCAAUAUUUUGCUGGACCAUCUAUGGUUCGAUGCCUUUGAUGGCA
rnacentral:rRNA from 1 species